rnacentral:rRNA from 1 species
UACGUAGGGUGCGAGCGUUGUCCGGAUUUAUUGGGCGUAAAGAGCUCGUAGGCGGUUUGUCGCGUCGGCCGUGAAAACCUACAGCUUAACUGUGGGCUUGCGGUCGAUACGGGCAGACUUGAGUUCGGCAGGGGAGACUGGAAUUCCUGGUGUAGCGGUGAAAUGCGCAGAUAUCAGGAGGAACACCGGUGGCGAAGGCGGGUCUCUGGGCCGAUACUGACGCUGAGGAGCGAAAGCGUGGGGAGCGAAC